CACCGGCGGCUCGAGUGGUGGCCACUUUUAUUGGGUCUAAAGUGUCCGUAGCCGGCUUGGCAAGUCCCCUGGGAAAUCUGGCGGCUUAACCGUCAGGCGUCCAGAGGAUACUGCCAGGCUUGGGACCGGGAGAGGUGAGAGGUACCUCAGGGGUAGGGGUGAAAUCUUGUGAUCCCUGAGGGACCACCAGUGGCGAAGGCGUCUCACUAGAACGGGUCCGACGGUCAGGGACGAAAGCUGGGGGCACGAACCGG
rnacentral:rRNA from 1 species